rnacentral:rRNA from 1 species
CCUACGGGCGGCAGCAGUGGGGAAUAUUGCACAAUGGGGGAAACCCUGAUGCAGCGACGCCGCGUGAGUGAAGAAGUCUUUCGGGAUGUAAAGCUCUAUUCGCAGGGAAGAAAAUGUCGGUACCUGAUUAAGAUGCCCCGGCUAACUACGUGCCAGCAGCCGCGGUAAUACGUAGGGGGCAAGCGUUAUCCGGAUUUAAUGGGUGUAAAGGGGGCGUAGACGGGGAUGCAAGUCAGAAGUGAAAGCCCGGGGCUCAACUCCGGGACUGCUUUUGAAACUGUGUGACUGGAGUGCAGGAGAGGUAAGCGGAAUUCCUGGUGUAGCGGUGAAAUGCGUAGAUAUCAGGAGGAACACCAGUGGCGAAGGCGGAUUACUGGACUGUAACUGACGUUGAGGCGCGAAAGCGUGGGGAGCAAACAGGAUUAGAUACCCGAGUAGUC